rnacentral:lncRNA from 1 species
AUUGGUGGAAUUCUCACGUCUCUCAACAUUUUUGACAUAAUCAAGGACUUUCAAAGCUAUCCUGUUACUACAUCCAUCGAUAUAAAGAGAGACUCCAUCAUUUCCUUCCCUGCCGUAACUAUUUGCAAUCUUAACAGGAUCCAUUGUCUGAGAACAUUUGAUGAACUUGAAGAUUUGGAACGCUUUCGUUUUACGUAUGCUAAGCAUCGAUAUAUGGAAAAUGAGUUGACAGUUGGGAGAAAGGACUAUGCAACACUCAAAAAAAUAAUGGUUAUUACAGGAUGUAUGGAAAAAGUGUGUGAAAUCUUUGAGAAGUAUGUCUUGGAGACUGAGAAAGUAAAAAAGAACUUGUAUAUUUCUCUGGGGAUUUAUUGCAAUAAAUCUAGUUUUUUUGACUGCACCACGGCCAUGGCAUAUUUUGAUUUAUCCAAAACAGUUGAUAAAAAGCGGAUCGUCAAGUCGCUUUUAAAGCAAGAGUGUGAUGUUCAAGAAAUCUGUAUGUAUAGAAGGGAUUUUGAAAAAAAGGAGGUUUGUCAACCUUCCACUUUC